rnacentral:rRNA from 1 species
UACGUAGGGACCAAGCGUUGUCCGGAAUCAUUGGGCGUAAAGAGCGUGUAGGCGGCUUGUUAAGUCUUGCGUGAAAUCUCGGGGCUCAACCCCGAGCGGUCGUGAGAAACUGGCAGGCUAGAGUGCGGGAGAGGAGAGUGGAAUUCCUGGUGUAGCGGUGAAAUGCGCAGAUAUCAGGGGGAACACCGGUGGCGAAGGCGGUUCUCUGGGCAGUAACUGACGCUGAGGAGCGAAAGCGUGGGGAGCGAACAGG